CACGAAAAAAAAAAAAAGCCAAGAAAACUCACCACAACUCCUGUAGCGCCCAGAGGAAACCCGUGAAGGAACUAAGCGCGGGGUGGUGGUGGGGAUCUGCUGGGUGAUAGCGGAGGAAGAGGGAAGCACAACCUGGGACACACUGCUGCCAACACUUCGCGAUCAGUUUUCUUCUUCUACCAAACCCAGAAAAAAAAAGAAGGCGCCCGCUCCAGGAAAGCUGUACUUCUCCCGUGUGUUUGGUCUGGACAGAGGUGGGGGUUCCGGCUCGGAUGAUAAACCCCACAGUUUAUCGGCUGUUUCCGGGCGCGUCGGCUCGCUCUCCUAGUCCGCCAUGUUGUGUGUCUGUCUGCAUAGGAAGAAUGGGAAGCAGCAGAAAAUUCCCAGGCCAGGCCCCGGCUCUCCUCCACUGGGUUUCUGCGCGGCCGACAGCGACCCCUGCUGGCAGAGCUGAAAGUCUGCACUGCAGCCGAACACUCAGGGCCACGGGCCAAGAAAAAACAUUUUUAUUUUUAGUGUUUUGCAGAUAUGAAUAAGCGUGGGGGAAAYAAAUGAAGUAUGUAAACAAACAAAAGAAACAAAUUAAACCAYAUAAAACAAUUUGUGUUUGCAGAUCUUUCCCCCAAUUUUAUUUAAAACAUAUAGUGCAUCACAUCAGUGUGUGCAGUCAAUAUUGCAAUAAAUAAACAAAUAAACAAAUAAAUAAAUAAAUAAAUAAAUAAAAGCUGGGAAUGCAAUAAUUCAUAGAUCGUUAUAGUUCAAGUAGCAUGCAUUCUCGUUCUACAUGUUAAAGUGCCUGCGAUAUAAUUUUUU